UGCGUAGGCGGUUCGUUAAGUCUGACGUGAAAUCCCCGGGCUCAACCUGGGACGUGCGUUGGAAACUGGCGAUCUAGAGUACGGUAGAGGGUGGUGGAAUUCCCGGUGUAGCGGUGAAAUGCGUAGAUAUUAGGAGGAACACCAGUGGCGAAGGCGGCUUGCUGGACGAUAACUGACGCUGAGGCGCGAAAGCGUGGGGAGCAAACAGGAUUAGAUACCCGCGUA
rnacentral:rRNA from 1 species